UAAAACUAGUCGUAAAAUUAAAAAAAUUUUAUUGGAACUUCUUUUUCUUUAAACAUUCAUGUUUAUUUAUUUAUACUAUCUUAGAAUUUGCUGCUUUAGAGGCAUGGCAUUUAGUGUCACAUUGUAGGUUUAAAUUGGUUGUAGAAUUUAUAUUGUAACUUGCAUAUUUAUUUAGUUGAGUUUAAUCUAAGUUUAUAUCUGAUGUGUUUGUAUUAUUUUAGAAUUUACUGUUUUAGACACGUGGCAUGUGGUAUCCCACUACACUUGGUAUAAGCUGUCAUACUACACGUGGCAUGUGGUAUCCCACUAAUUAGCUAUUUUAAACAUGUGACAAGUGGUAUGACACUGUAAGUUUAAAUAAGUUGUAAAAUUAAUUUUUUUAUAUAGUUACUUGCGUUUUUUUUGGUCUGCAUAUUUAAUCUUGUUUUGAUUUAUCAUAGUUUUUAAAAGGUUAGAGACUUUUAUU
rnacentral:lncRNA from 1 species